rnacentral:rRNA from 1 species
GGGUUGUGAGGUUAAGCGACUAAGCGUACACGGUGGAUGCCCCGGCAGUCAGAGGCGAUGAAGGACGUGCUAAUCUGCGAUAAGCGUCGGUAAGGUGAUAUGAACCGUUAUAACCGGCGAUUUCCGAAUGGGGAAACCCAGUGUGAUUCGUCACACUAUCAUUAACUGAAUCCAUAGGUUAAUGAGGCGAACCGGGGAACUGAAACAUCUAAGUACCCCGAGGAAAAGAAAUCAACCGAGAUUCCCCAGUAGCGGCGAGCGAACGGGGAGGAGCCCAGAGCCUGAAUCAGUGUGUGUGUUAGUGGAAGCGUCUGGAAAGGCGCGCGAUACAGGGUGACAGCCCCGUACACAAAAAUGCACAUGCUGUGAGCUCGAUGAGUAGGGCGGGACACGUGGUAUCCUGUCUGAAUAUGGGGGACCAUCCUCCAAGGCUAAAUACUCCUGACUGACCGAUAGUGAACCAGUACCGUGAGGGAAAGGCGAAAAGAACCCCGGCGAGGGGAGUGAAAAGAACCUGAAACCGUGUACGUACAAGCAGUGGGAGCCUCUUAAUGGGGUGACUGCGUACCUUUGUAUAAUGGGUCAGCGACUUAUAUUCUGUAGCAAGGUUAACCGAAUAGGGGAGCCGAAGGGAAACCGAGUCUUAACUGGGCGUUAAGUUGCAGGGUAUAGACCCGAAACCCGGUGAUCUAGCCAUGGGCAGGUUGAAGGUUGGGUAACACUAACUGGAGGACCGAACCGACUAAUGUUGAAAAAUUAGCGGAUGACUUGUGGCUGGGGGUGAAAGGCCAAUCAAACCGGGAGAUAGCUGGUUCUCCCGAAAGCUAUUUAGGUAGCGCCUCGUGAAUUCAUCUCCGGGGUAGAGCACUGUUUCGGCAAGGGGUCAUCCCGACUUACCAACCCGAUGCAAACUGCGAAUACCGGAGAAUGUUAUCACGGGAGACACACGGCGGGUGCUAACGUCCGUCGUGAAGAGGGAAACAACCCAGACCGCCAGCUAAGGUCCCAAAGUCAUGGUUAAGUGGGAAACGAUGUGGGAAGGCCCAGACAGCCGGGAUGUUGGCUUAGAAGCAGCCAUCAUUUAAAGAAAGCGUAAUAGCUCACUGGUCGAGUCGGCCUGCGCGGAAGAUGUAACGGGCUAAACCAUGCACCGAAGCUGCGGCAGCGACACUAUGUGUUGUUGGGUAGGGGAGCGUUCUGUAAGCCUGUGAAGGUGGCCUGUGAGGGUUGCUGGAGGUAUCAGAAGUGCGAAUGCUGACAUAAGUAACGAUAAAGCGGGUGAAAAGCCCGCUCGCCGGAAGACCAAGGGUUCCUGUCCAACGUUAAUCGGGGCAGGGUGAGUCGACCCUAAGGCGAGGCCGAAAGGCGUAGUCGAUGGGAAACAGGUUAAUAUUCCUGUACUUGGUGUUACUGCGAAGGGGACGGAGAAGGCUAUGUUGGCCGGGCGACGGUUGUCCCGGUUUAAGCGUGUAGGCUGGUUUUCCGUGCAAAUCCGGAAAACCAAGGCUGAGGCGUGAUGACGAGGCACUACGGUGCUGAAGUGACAAAUGCCCUGCUUCCGUGAAAGCCUCUAAGCAUCAGGUAACAUCAAAUCGUACCCCAAACCGACACAGGUGGUCAGGUAGAGAAUACCAAGGCGCUUGAGAGAACUCGGGUGAAGGAACUAGGCAAAAUGGUGCCGUAACUUCGGGAGAAGGCACGCUGAUAUGUAGGUGAAGCGACUUGCUCGUGGAGCUGAAAUCAGUCGAAGAUACCAGCUGGCUGCAACUGUUUAUUAAAAACACAGCACUGUGCAAACACGAAAGUGGACGUAUACGGUGUGACGCCUGCCCGGUGCCGGAAGGUUAAUUGAUGGGGUUAGCGGUAACGCGAAGCUCUUGAUCGAAGCCCCGGUAAACGGCGGCCGUAACUAUAACGGUCCUAAGGUAGCGAAAUUCCUUGUCGGGUAAGUUCCGACCUGCACGAAUGGCGUAAUGAUGGCCGUGCUGUCUCCACCCGAGACUCAGUGAAAUUGAACUCGCUGUGAAGAUGCAGUGUACCCGCGGCAAGACGGAAAGACCCCGUGAACCUUUACUAUAGCUUGACACUGAACAUUGAGCCUUGAUGUGUAGGAUAGGUGGGAGGCUUUGAAGUGUGGACGCCAGUCUGCAUGGAGCCGACCUUGAAAUACCACCCUUUAAUGUUUGAUGUUCUAACGUUGGCCCCUAAUCGGGGUUGCGGACAGUGUCUGGUGGGUAGUUUGACUGGGGCGGUCUCCUCCUAAAGAGUAACGGAGGAGCACGAAGGUUGGCUAAUCCGGUCGGACAUCAGGAGGUUAGUGCAAUGGCAUAAGCCAGCUUGACUGCGAGCGUGACGGCGCGAGCAGGUGCGAAAGCAGGUCAUAGUGAUCCGGUGGUUCUGAAUGGAAGGGCCAUCGCUCAACGGAUAAAAGGUACCCGGGGAUAACAGGCUGAUACCGCCCAAGAGUUCAUAUCGACGGCGGUGUUUGGCACCUCGAUGUCGGCUCAUCACAUCCCGGGCUGAAGUAGGUCCCAAGGGUAUGGCUGUUCGCCAUUUAAAGUGGUACGCGAGCUGGGUUUAGAACGUCGUGAGACAGUUCGGUCCCUAUCUGCCGUGGGCGCUGGAGAACUGAGGGGGGCUGCUCCUAGUACGAGAGGACCGGAGUGGACGCAUCACUGGUGUUCGGGUUGUCAUGCCAAUGGCACUGCCCGGUAGCUAAAUGCGGAAGAGAUAAGUGCUGAAAGCAUCUAAGCACGAAACUUGCCCCGAGAUGAGUUCUCCUGAGACUUAGAGUCUCCUGAAGGAACGUUGAAGACGACGACGUUGAUAGGCCGGGUGUGUAAGCGCAGCGAUGCGUUGAGCUAACCGGUACUAAUGAACCGUGAGGCUUAACCUUACAACGCCGAAG